UGUAAACAAUUGUUUAUUUUGUGGAUAAUAUGUAACAGUAUACACUGCAGUAUUUUAAGGAUUUACCUGUCCAUUGGACUCGCAUGAGCUGAACAUUGCCACAGUAGGCUACCCAUCUCUUACAGUACUGUUACACGAUUUUAGAGUGACAAAUUGUCAGAAGCCCACACUUUAAUUUGCCUUUUCAAAUUUCUAAACGUUCUAACCUAAAGUCCUAAACGUUUUACCCCAGGCAUUCUAGAAAAGUUGGACUGUUCAACUUCAAAGAAUAGCUAACGUUACAUGGCUAUACACCACGCUGGCUCCAUGAUCUCUAAAACGCUUGGUUAACCUGGAAUUCUGGAUCUUCCUGAUGCUUCAACCACACUGGCCAAAAAACGGUCUGGUGUCAACUCAAACGGUGUGUUAUUUCUGCGUACACUGCUUAUUGGGACUGAAAAGCUUUUGAUACGUUUCCUCAGAUGCAUUUAGCACACGUGUCCUGCUACUCAUCCCAUUUGAAGUUCUCAGCAUCACCAUUAUAAUUUGCUGGUCUAGAGUGGAAACCUGAACCUACCAUAAAGUAAUACUUGUCUUGCGCAUUGAA